rnacentral:rRNA from 1 species
GUGGCGAACGGGUGAGUAACACGUGGACAACCUGCCUCAAGGCUGGGGAUAACAUUUGGAAACAGAUGCUAAUACCGAAUAAAACUUAGUGUCGCAUGACAUAAAGUUAAAAGGCGCUUCGGCGUCACCUAGAGAUGGAUCCGCGGUGCAUUAGUUAGUUGGUGGGGUAAAGGCCUACCAAGACAAUGAUGCAUAGCCGAGUUGAGAGACUGAUCGGCCACAUUGGGACUGAGACACGGCCCAAACUCCUACGGGAGGCUGCAGUAGGGAAUCUUCCACAAUGGGCGAAAGCCUGAUGGAGCAACGCCGCGUGUGUGAUGAAGGCUUUCGGGUCGUAAAGCACUGUUGUAUGGGAAGAACAGCUAGAAUAGGAAAUGAUUUUAGUUUGACGGUACCAUACCAGAAAGGGACGGCUAAAUACGUGCCAGCAGCCGCGGUAAUACGUAUGUCCCGAGCGUUAUCCGGAUUUAUUGGGCGUAAAGCGAGCGCAGACGGUUUAUUAAGUCUGAUGUGAAAGCCCGGAGCUCAACUCCGGAAUGGCAUUGGAAACUGGUUAACUUGAGUGCAGUAGAGGUAAGUGGAACUCCAUGUGUAGCGGUGGAAUGCGUAGAUAUAUGGAAGAACACCAGUGGCGAAGGCGGCUUACUGGACUGCAACUGACGUUGAGGCUCGAAAGUGUGGGUAGCAAACAGGAUUAGAUACCCUGGUAGUCCACACCGUAAACGAUGAACACUAGGUGUUAGGAGGUUUCCGCCUCUUAGUGCCGAAGCUAACGCAUUAAGUGUUCCGCCUGGGGAGUACGACCGC